UAAUGCCGGAUGCUCCAUCACACCGCAUGGUGUGUUGGGAAAGCCUUUGCGGCAUGGGAUGGGGUCGCGUCCUAUCAGCUUGAUGGCGGGGUAACGGCCCACCAUGGCUUCGACGGGUAGCCGGCCUGAGAGGGCGACCGGCCACAUUGGGACUGAGAUACGGCCCAGACUCCUACGGGAGGCAGCAGUGGGGAAUAUUGCACAAUGGGCGCAAGCCUGAUGCAGCGACGCCGCGUGAGGGAUGGAGGCCUUCGGGUUGUAAACCUCUUUUGUUAGGGAGCAAGGCAUUUUGUGUUGAGUGUACCUUUCGAAUAAGCACCGGCUAACUACGUGCCAGCAGCCGCGGUAAUACGUAGGGUGCAAGCGUUAUCCGGAAUUAUUGGGCGUAAAGGGCUCGUAGGCGGUUCGUCGCGUCCGGUGUGAAAGUCCAUCGCUUAACGGUGGAUCCGCGCCGGGUACGGGCGGGCUUGAGUGCGGUAGGGGAGACUGGAAUUCCCGGUGUAACGGUGGAAUGUGUAGAUAUCGGAAAGAACA
rnacentral:rRNA from 1 species